rnacentral:lncRNA from 1 species
GUAGAACAAGAUGUCGGCCGAACUUUCGUUGUCGAAAAGAAUGCGACGGAUGUCGUAAUUUGCUAUAUUCAAGGAAACUAUGACUGCAUCGUUAUGAGGGAAUUGGACUCCCUGGGUGUCUUCUUCGAUAAAGGUUAUGGGUUCUUCAACCUUUUGCCGCUUGGGGGAUACAGUCGGUAUGUUGGUUGUUUCUCGCUGGGGUCCUCCCGAGAUGGUGUUGACAGAAUCCGUCAGAGGC